ensembl:snRNA U6 U6 spliceosomal RNA
AUCCUCCCUUUGGCAGCACAUCUACUCAAAUUGGAAUAGUGCAGAGACCAUUAGCAUGGCUUCUGUGCAAGGACAGCAUGCAAAUUCAUGAAGCAGUUUUUCCCACUUUU